AGUGGAGUUAGUAUACCUGGUGGUGCAGCAAGUACUAGAGGUGUGUGAAGUGGAACAUGGGCUGCACACAAGUCCAAAACAAAAAAUGGGGGUAUGGUUCUAGCAAAUAUCAGGAGUGCGCAAAAAAAUACACAAACAGUCCAACUCAAAUAAAUGGAGGUGCAAAUAUAAACAAAAAGGUGCGCGGAGAAAAAAACGUUCAGACCCAAUUUAUUUGAAAUAAGAAAAAAAAGGGAACCCUAAUUUGAACUAUAGCCCCUCUUCUCUUCACUUCACCAACAACACCCUUCCUCCCUUCUCUCGAGCCACCAAGAUUCCGACAACAAGUGUCGCUGCCGCAAGUCCCACGGCUGGCAAGACACGCCGCCGUCGACACCAGUCCCUACUGGAAGCAUCGCCGGCGAGAACCCAACUCCCUGAAUUGUCCCCCUUCUCGUUUUUCUCCCGCGCGCGAGGUAGGCCGAAUCCCGGAGUCUUGCCGUUGCACACCACGCCGCUCCGACCUCGCGUUUGCCAGCUCAGACCGCCACGGCCUGGACUGCCGCCACGACGCCAUUGCCGCUUGCAGAGUUCCCCUUCCUCUUCUUGUGUCGAAGUGGCUCACUUAAACACGAAAUCUUGUGGCCGUUGCCACCAAGACCACCAUCAUUCAAGACUCCGACUCGCUGGCGGCGAUGCUACCGACGAUUUUUCUUUCCUUUUUGUUUCGAUUGAAAGUCUGUGAUUGGGGAAGAUAAAAUGAGAGUUUUUGGUGCUAUUUGGGGCUUCUAGUUCUCUUUGAUUUUUGUGCAGGUGAAGGAUGAAGAUGACGGAUGAAGAUGAAGGUUGAAUAUGAAGAAGGAAAGGAUAAUAAGGCUGGAAAGUGGUCUACGUAGUGGCACGGGGCUGAUGUUGAUGGUGACGAUAGAGAUUGAGGGUGAUGGGGUGGCAGAUGAAAUUGGUUUGGCUGUUAUGUGUGCACAUGUGAACAAGAAUGGAGGAGAAAGUGUGUUUCAGGACUUGUUUCAAGUAAAACCAAGAGAAAGACCAUGAUGACAAAACGCAGUGAAGUUCAUGGAUGAAAUCGCGUCAUUAAUGAGCAAAGUCCUCAUAGCAAGCAAACAAAACAACAUCAAUUUCACUAUUACAAUGAAUUAUGCUUUCUUAUGUGGUCCUAGAGCCCACUUCAUUUCUCCAUAACAUUUGCAAAGGCGUUGCCAUACCUUGCCUUAGUGGUGAGUUGAUUUCAUUCAAACUUUAACUGUCCUGAAUCAAUCAAGGAUUCCACUUUACGCUUGAGUCCCCAACAAUUUUCGGUUGAAUGACCAAUAGCCCCUCCAUGAUAAUCACAUCUUGCAUCUGCGUCAUAAGUUUUGGAGUACGGGGGCUUGGCAGGCUUCGUGGGGCAAAUAGAGGCCAAACCUCUUUGGAGAAGACUUGGGAGCAAUGCUGCAUAGGUCAUUGGGAUAGGAGUGAAACUCACAAGCCUAUUGUCUUGAUUAACAUUUCCCUGUCCAAUGGUUCGGUGGGAAGUUGAGUUGGGGUCGGAUAUCAAAUUUUGUCUGGGAAAGGCUCCGGAAUGAGGGUAGGUCAAGGGUAUUUGAGCAGUGGGACGUGAUUGAGAUUUUCCAUCUCUCCUCUUCCCAGGUUUAGAACUGGACUCGUUCACACUUGCUACCAUGGUAGAAGCAUGUGCGGUCUUCCCUGUCAUCACACCAAUUCCAAUUCUUUCUCCAAUUAUGACAAAGCUUGAGGAAACAUUACUCACCAUACACUCGUAGAAGGGUGAUUAUAGAGUGCUUAUAAACAUAGUUGUCAUCUCUUUAUUAGGCAAAGGUGGCACCACUUGAGCAGCAAUCUCUCUCCACCUUGGAGCAUACUCUUUGAAUGCCUCGAACUCCUUCUUCGCCAUAUUUUGUAGAUGCAACCUAUUAGGCAUUGUAUCAUUAUUGUAUCCAUAUUGCCUCAAGAACGCAUCAGCCAGAUCUUUCCAUGAACGAAUGUGAGUUGGUUCCAAAAGCGUAUACCAAUUCAGAGCGAUGCCAGUUAAGCUUUCCUGGAACAAGUGAAUUAGUAGUUUUCAUCAUGAGCAUAGGCAGUCAUUUUCCGACAAAACAUGGUUAUGUGGUUCUUUGGACAAGUGUUCCCUCGAUACUUCUCAAACUCUGGCAACUUGAACUUUGGGAGUAUCACCAUGUCUUGGACUAAGCAUAGUCCAACAACAUCACUGAAUGCAAAAUUUCUCUCCCUUUCUAUGGCUCUCAACCUCUUCUCAAGCAUUUGUAAUUUAUUCUCUUCGUCCUUAACGUCCCUAGGUGCGACGAUAGACUUCACAUCAUGUUGCUUUGUCUCUACUAUGUUCACGAUAUUUGGAUGAGUGGUUUCCCCAAAACAUGUGAAAGUAGCAGCUUCAAGCUUAUUUUCUUCUUCAACCACAUUGUUUUCAACAUUUUGAAUGCAAACUUUCCUCGAGUCCACUCCAAGGGGUGGAAUGUAAUUUGAAGGGAGGCUAGAUGGAGGAAAAUUUUGGUUUUCCUGAACCUUAUGUUGUUGUUGUGAUGUCGACGUCUCUCCAGGGUUUUGCAUGGCAUUCAAGGCCUCCAAGAUUUGACUCAUCUGACUCUUUAAUUGUUGGAUAUCGGUCUUCAUCAUCUCUUGGGUUUCUCCUUGGUUUUCCAUGAUUUUGCGAUAGGGUCGCAUCCUAUAGGGUGUCUUGAAAGUUUAGCCUAUUUUACUUUUAUUUUAGUUGAAUUUUAUUGAGUGAAAUGGAUAAAGAAAGAACAAAAAGGAAAUGAAAAGAAAUAGAAAAUAUGACAUAAUGCAACCAAUUCUAGUUAGAAAUUAUAAAGUUGUGAAAACACCAUCAUAA